UUCUAGGGAGGUACAUAGCACACCAUUGUAAAUCAUCAUUUUUAUUAUAAAUUCUAUUAUAGAAUACAUAUAAAAUGUGAUAUUAUUUUUAGUAUUUAGUGAUCUGUAUUGCAGGAAUUAGUGAAAACAAACUGCCCAGAAUCUUCAGAUUUGUUUUAGAAAAUGCUCAGAAUCUCCAGAUCUGUUCACGUUUUCGAUUCAGAUGGUGGUGACGAUGGUGGAGAUGGUGGAGUUGAAGGUGGAGAUGGUGGAGGUGAAGGUGGAGAUGGAGGAAGGAUGAUUGUAGUGGAGGUCUGGGCGGCUUGAAGUAGGGGACUGGAGCAUUGCCCGAAUAGUAGCGGCACCGCCGCGUUUUGAAGUUGAGCCCAGGUGGAGAAAGAAGUAUGAACGAGGCUCAAGGAGGUUGAAGCAGCGACCAAGAUGGGGCUGGUGAAAAUGGAGGUGGAGAUUGUGUUGUUAGAGAAAUAAUGGAGGUGGAGAUGGAGAUGGUGGUUAUGGAGGGGGUGAGCGACAUAGAGGUAUGGUGGUGGUUAUGGAGGAGGCGACGACAGAGGUGGUGGUAGUGGCGGAUGCGGAGGUGGGUUUGGUGAAGAUGGAGGUGGAGAUGGAGUUCUUUAAAAAUUUAGUGGUAUUCGUUUUAAGAUUUAGUGAUAUUCUAACUUAGUUUUUAGUUUUUAGAAUAAGGAGGUUUUUAUUAGAAUAGAAUUCUAUAUAUAUAUAUAUAUGUGUGUGUGGGGGGGGGAUCAAUGGGUAACCUCUUAAUGUGUAUAACUUGACAUGAAGAGUUUUGUUACAUACAACUACUUAUCCCUUGUAACUGUUUUAACCAAAUACAUGUUAAAACACGUGGCCCACCUUAAAUGAUGAACACAAAAACUUACCUAACAAAUGCAUUAAUUCUGUAAUUUAUUGGAUACAUAACUGUGGAAAGAAAAAAAAAACAAAAAAAACUGUUAUCAAACAAAUAAUAUAUAGCACAUAUGGAAACUGAAAAAUGCAUAAUAAACUCAAAUCUCUUAUAUAUAAUAAAAAGAUAUAGUAUAAUACUAAACAUCAAAAUAAUAACAUGAAAAAUAUAAAUUAUUCUAUUUUUUUAAUUAAUUUGUACACUUUUUGUAAAUUUUAUAUAUUUGUGUGUGUUCUGUAUAUUUUUUGUAGCCUUUAACUAUAUUUGUUGUUAUUUAUUUUUUAUUACUAUAUUCGGUAAUUAUUUUAGAUUUUAAAUGAUAUGUUUUACAUACAAAUAUUUAUCUCCUAUUAUAAUUUAAAUUUGUUUAUUUAUUAUAUUAAAUUUAAAUGCAUGUACAUUAUAUAUCUUUUUUAUUUAAUAUUUCCUACAUAGUUUGGUGAUGUAUUUCUUUUAGUAUUCAAUAAUUUUUUAAAAAUUUUACAAUUAUUCUUUUUGAAUGUAUCUUAUAAUUAUUUUUGUAAUAAUCUUAAUUUUCAUAUUUAUUAUAUUAUAUUAUAAAUAUAAAAUUUAUAUGUAAAAAUAUUUUAUUUAUGUCAAAUGUGUUAUGUAUAUGUUCCAAUUUUUUUAUACAUUGUUUAUGUUACGUAUUUCUUCCAGUCAUCUGGAGAUUUUCUGAAAGUUCUUUAAAUUUUUUGCUCUCAGUGUACAGUGUUAUUAUAUGUGUUCAUAAAUCUUAGUAUGUCGGUGAGUAUUCGGUAGUAUUCUUUUCGUUCUACAGAAUUAAAAAAAAAAGGUUAUGAUUUAACCGUACCAAUAAUACUUUGCUAGAUUUUAGGAAGGUCAAGUCUGUGUACCAUGUAAUCUAUGUACAUUAUAAAUCCUCUAGCAUCUAGAAGACUCAAUUAUGAAAAGAUAUAAAUUCUGAUGAUCUCAACAAGAAAACCUUUGAUGAUAUGAGAUUUUGUUAUCAAUAUUUAAAAUCAGGAUUUUCUCUCAGAGUUAUAUGAAGAUCAGAGUUUAUCAAAUGCUGAGUAUAUCAAAGUUUGCUGAUAGAGGAUAUUCUUCAGAGUUUGUCAAAACUGGUUUUCAAGAGUGAAUUAGUUCUAAAUAUUAAAGAUAUAUAGUUUAGAGAUUUAACAACUCAGGACUUUAGUAGGUUUAUACUCCAUCACUAAUUGAUAUAUGGGGUUUUUUCAUAAAUAUAUAGGAAAAAGUAAAUUUUUGCAAAUUUACUUUUCUCAAGAAUAGCUAUUUGCAGUUUUACUACACUAAGUUUCUAAAUUGCAAAAAUACUACCCCUCCCUUCUGCAACUGAAUGCAACCACAUGUUGAAGGUGGAGAUGGUGGAGGUGAAGGUGGAGAUGGAGGAAGGAUGAUUGUAGUGGAGGUCUGGGCGGCUUGAAGUAGGGGACUGGAGCAUUGCCCGAAUAGUAGCGGCACCGCCGCGUUUUGAAGUUGAGCCCAGGUGGAGAAAGAAGUAUGAACGAGGCUCAAGGAGGUUGAAGCAGCGACCAAGAUGGGGCUGGUGAAAAUGGAGGUGGAGAUUGUGUUGUUAGAGAAAUAAUGGAGGUGGAGAUGGAGAUGGUGGUUAUGGAGGGGGUGAGCGACAUAGAGGUAUGGUGGUGGUUAUGGAGGAGGCGACGACAGAGGUGGUGGUAGUGGCGGAUGCGGAGGUGGGUUUGGUGAAGAUGGAGGUGGAGAUGGAGUUCUUUAAAAAUUUAGUGGUAUUCGUUUUAAGAUUUAGUGAUAUUCUAACUUAGUUUUUAGUUUUUAGAAUAAGGAGGUUUUUAUUAGAAUAGAAUUCUAUAUAUAUAUAUAUAUGUGUGUGUGGGGGGGGGAUCAAUGGGUAACCUCUUAAUGUGUAUAACUUGACAUGAAGAGUUUUGUUACAUACAACUACUUAUCCCUUGUAACUGUUUUAACCAAAUACAUGUUAAAACACGUGGCCCACCUUAAAUGAUGAACACAAAAACUUACCUAACAAAUGCAUUAAUUCUGUAAUUUAUUGGAUACAUAACUGUGGAAAGAAAAAAAAAACAAAAAAAACUGUUAUCAAACAAAUAAUAUAUAGCACAUAUGGAAACUGAAAAAUGCAUAAUAAACUCAAAUCUCUUAUAUAUAAUAAAAAGAUAUAGUAUAAUACUAAACAUCAAAAUAAUAACAUGAAAAAUAUAAAUUAUUCUAUUUUUUUAAUUAAUUUGUACACUUUUUGUAAAUUUUAUAUAUUUGUGUGUGUUCUGUAUAUUUUUUGUAGCCUUUAACUAUAUUUGUUGUUAUUUAUUUUUUAUUACUAUAUUCGGUAAUUAUUUUAGAUUUUAAAUGAUAUGUUUUACAUACAAAUAUUUAUCUCCUAUUAUAAUUUAAAUUUGUUUAUUUAUUAUAUUAAAUUUAAAUGCAUGUACAUUAUAUAUCUUUUUUAUUUAAUAUUUCCUACAUAGUUUGGUGAUGUAUUUCUUUUAGUAUUCAAUAAUUUUUUAAAAAUUUUACAAUUAUUCUUUUUGAAUGUAUCUUAUAAUUAUUUUUGUAAUAAUCUUAAUUUUCAUAUUUAUUAUAUUAUAUUAUAAAUAUAAAAUUUAUAUGUAAAAAUAUUUUAUUUAUGUCAAAUGUGUUAUGUAUAUGUUCCAAUUUUUUUAUACAUUGUUUAUGUUACGUAUUUCUUCCAGUCAUCUGGAGAUUUUCUGAAAGUUCUUUAAAUUUUUUGCUCUCAGUGUACAGUGUUAUUAUAUGUGUUCAUAAAUCUUAGUAUGUCGGUGAGUAUUCGGUAGUAUUCUUUUCGUUCUACAGAAUUAAAAAAAAAAGGUUAUGAUUUAACCGUACCAAUAAUACUUUGCUAGAUUUUAGGAAGGUCAAGUCUGUGUACCAUGUAAUCUAUGUACAUUAUAAAUCCUCUAGCAUCUAGAAGACUCAAUUAUGAAAAGAUAUAAAUUCUGAUGAUCUCAACAAGAAAACCUUUGAUGAUAUGAGAUUUUGUUAUCAAUAUUUAAAAUCAGGAUUUUCUCUCAGAGUUAUAUGAAGAUCAGAGUUUAUCAAAUGCUGAGUAUAUCAAAGUUUGCUGAUAGAGGAUAUUCUUCAGAGUUUGUCAAAACUGGUUUUCAAGAGUGAAUUAGUUCUAAAUAUUAAAGAUAUAUAGUUUAGAGAUUUAACAACUCAGGACUUUAGUAGGUUUAUACUCCAUCACUAAUUGAUAUAUGGGGUUUUUUCAUAAAUAUAUAGGAAAAAGUAAAUUUUUGCAAAUUUACUUUUCUCAAGAAUAGCUAUUUGCAGUUUUACUACACUAAGUUUCUAAAUUGCAAAAAUACUACCCCUCCCUUCUGCAACUGAAUGCAACCACAUGCAACUGAAUGCCUGAUUUCAAGUUCCAGUUCUCAAAUGUCAUUUUCGACCUCAUCGUUGGAAUCCAUAUAUAUAUAUAUAUAUAUGACAUUUGAGAACUGGAACUUGAAAUCAGGAGUUGCAGUUGCAUAUGAGGUUGCAUUCAUUUGCAUAUGGUUGAAUGCAAUCUCAUAUGCAACUGAAAACUGUAAGUUACAAUUGAUGUAUGGGUGCCCCUGGCGGGGCCAUUAAAUCAAAAUAGAAUCAACUGAAUGCAACAUCAUAAGCAACUGAAUUUUUUUAGGGUGGGGUGAUAUUGUGGUGGAUUUGGGUUGCAGGCCCCGCAGGGGCAAUAUUCAACUGAAUAUGCAAUCUCAUAAGCAACUAAAUGCAACUGAAAACUGUAAAUUACAACUGAUGUAUGGGUGCCCCUGGCGGGGCCAUUAGAUCAAAAUAGAAUCAACUGAAUGCAACCAAAUGCAACUGAAUGCAACUAAAUGCCUGAUUUCAAGUUCCAGUCUCCAAAUGUCAUUUUUGACCAGAUUUUCAGAAUCUAUAUAUAUAUAUAUAUAUAUAUAUAUAUANACAUUUGAAAAGUGGAACUUGAAAUCAGGCAUUCAGUUGUAUUUGAGGUUGCAUUUAGUUGCAGGGGGGAGGGGGUAGUAUUUUUGCAAUUUAGAAACUUAGUUUAGUAAAUAUGCAAUUAAUUUAGGAAGAUGGUAUUUUUGCAAAUAAGAUCCUAAAAAGUAGUAUAUUUGAUAAAUUCCCUUGAUAUAUUUUAUGUAGCUGAUUUAGAUCAUAUCAAUUAGAUGAUUAAUUGUAACCGUGUAGUAUAUAAGUUCGGAUCCGUUUAAAUUAUAGGUGUGUCGAUUACAAGAAAUAUUUUUUUUAAGUAACCUAGUAAUUCUCACUGAUAUUCAUACAUCUUUUGAAGAGGAUUUUAUUUAUAUGAUAACAGUUUUUAUCAUUAAAAAACUAAAUUUUGAUUUAUCUGUGUUGUGUGCUUAAUUCGAAUUUGAUUUUAUCCACUAUAUUCAACCUUCCCUUUUAUAUUGGUUUAAGACAUAAUAUCAAGAACUAGAAUCUUUACUCCUGUGUCUUUCAUUCCUAUCUUUGCUUGUAGUUGGCUAAUCUUUUUCCCUGGAUGUUGGGAACCUGACUUUGAUACCGAUUAUGCAACUCCUUAACAAAGUGGAUUGUAGUGGGGAUUGAAUACAAUCCAAGAUUUUUAUAAAUACUUUUUCAGAUGAACAACUAGAAUAUAAAAUUUUUAAACAAUCAAGUAAACACAAGAUAUUUAAAAUUUCAGGUGGAUUAUUUUUCUACCCGACAUAAUUAUAUUACGAAGAAUAUGUGAUAUUUUUACAAAUACACAGCUGCGGAUUUUUCAGCACUUAAUAAGUUCAAGAAUUCUCUCAAAUGCUAGUGUCUUCUCAAGCAUACGAAGUGCUACUAUUACUUGAUCAUAUACUCCAAGUUUACGACAAAAAAUAAAAAACAAGAUAAUUCUAUUUUCUAUGUUCAGAAUGGUUUGCUUCUUCACUCUUUGUCCUAUGCAAAUCUUCUUGAUUGUAUUCAUCUUUGACUGGGUUAUUUGUCUUAAUCCAACCAAUUUUCAUAGAAUUGAAAUGUUUCUGCAUCUUCUUUAGCUUCCUAAAUAGGCUUCCAUGUCCAACAAUGUGUAAUCAACCCAUGUGAACUAUCAUAAUGUUGUUACCUCAUUUUCAGUGGAUGUUGAGUUUAUCCGUUGAAAGAUUCUUCAUCCGUUGAGAUUUUAUUUAUCCAUUGAUUGAACUACACUUUCAUCCGUUGAAGUUUAUUUGCGGCAUCCGUUAAUUUAGCUAACUUCUUCAUCUAUAACCAUCCUUCACUUAUACAAAAUUACAAAGUAUAGAACAUUUACAAUUCAUCAACCUAUUCCGUAUAUCCGUUGAUGGAUAAUUGAACUUAUACAUUAACGAUGCCAACUUUAUUCAUUGAGGGAUAAAUUAAACUGGACAUGCUAUAAAAAACUUAUCAAUUGAACGGAUACCGUAAGUAUCAUGCUAUCCGUUGAUAGUUACAAUACUUAAAUAAAUUCAAUUAUGUAUUACGUAUUAUGUUAUCAUCAAAAUCAAGUGAAUCAUAACGGACAUGAUUUUUCAUAAUCACAAAGGAGAAUUUGUAAUAAGUUGAGUUAGUAGCAGGAGUAGUAGCAGCCGAGGUUAUAAUAAUUUUCAAUAGAUUCUCUUCUCACAAUUCAAGCCAUUAGACACAAAUAUGAUAAUCAAUUUGGAGGGAAUGUUAUUGAUAUGUGUCGGGAGCUUGUGACGUUUUUCUUUCAUUAAAAAAGUGAAUACAAUCAAAUUAUCAGUUGAUGCAACUAUGUUCUCGGAAAAUGAUGCCUACGGUAUUGGUUUGGUUGCUAGAAACUCUGAUGGGGAGGUUGUUCAUGCUUAGACUUGGCGUUAUUGGGGAAGGACGACGCCGGCAUUCGUGGAGGGUUUAGCAAUAAAAGAAGCUCUAAGUUGGUGCAUGAUGCAGCAUGGCUAGAGCAUAGAAGUUGAAUAUGAUUGUUUGGGUAUAAUCCAGGCAAUUAGGAGCCGUGUGCCUAUGGUGUCUCCAGUGGGACGUAUUGUCGAGGAGUGCAGGGAGAUGCUCCUUAAUCUGAACAAUGUUGCUUUGUUCUUUGUCAAACGAUCAGCUAAUAUGGUGGCGCAUAGCUUAGCUAGGGCAUCAUAUUCUUUUCCGGAUCGGUCUUUUAUUGGGAGGGAUGUUCCCUUGGAAGUCAUGAACUGUAUCUUAUUUGAUUUGUCAAUGAAUUAAGCCUUGUUUUUGGAGUAAAAAAAAAAACAACUAAACAAGGUAAUCCAUAGCUGGUGUGACUGAAUUCUAUAUUCAUUAAAAUUGUCAAAACCGUUUUAUCAUCUCCCUGUGUAUUUGUGCUU
rnacentral:lncRNA from 1 species